rnacentral:rRNA from 1 species
CGAGGACGAACGCUGGCGGCGUGCCUAAUACAUGCAAGUCGAACGGUCUUUCUAUGGAAGCUUGCUUCCACUGAGAAGAUAGUGGCGAACGGGUGAGUAACACGUGGGUAACCUGCCCAUAAGAGGGGGGAUAACAUCCGGAAACGGGUGCUAAUACCGCAUAGUUUUCUUGAUCGCAUGAUCGGGAAAGGAAAGACGGCCUUUGUGCUGUCGCUUAUGGAUGGACCCGCGGCGUAUUAGUUAGUUGGUGAGGUAACGGCUCACCAAGACGAUGAUACGUAGCCGACCUGAGAGGGUGAUCGGCCACAUUGGGACUGAGACACGGCCCAAACUCCUACGGGAGGCAGCAGUAGGGAAUCUUCCGCAAUGGACGAAAGUCUGACGGAGCAACGCCGCGUGAGUGAAGAAAGGUUUUCGGAUCGUAAAACUCUGUUGUCAGAGAAGAAUAAGUUGGAGAGUAACUGCUCCAGCCUUGACGGUAUCUGACCAGAAAGCCACGGCUAACUACGUGCCAGCCGCGGC